rnacentral:rRNA from 1 species
AGUAACGAACGGCUCAGUAACACGUAGUUAAUCUGCCCUUAGGACGGAGAUAACCCUGGGAAACUGGGGCUAAUAUCCGAUAGAUGAAAGCGCCUGGAAUGGUCUUCCAUCGAAAAGUUCUCGGAAACAUGCUUUCGAGAGCGCCUAAGGAUGAGACUGCGACCGAUCAGGCUGUUGGUGGGGUAACGGCCUACCAAACCUAUAACCGGUACGGGCCCUGAAAGGGGGAGCCCGGAGAUGGGAACUGAGACAAGGUCCCAGGCCCUACGGGGCGCAGCAGGCGCGAAACCUUCGCAAUGCGCGAAAGCGUGACGGGGUUACCCCGAGUGCCGUCCGAUGAGGAUGGCUUUUCCUCAGUGUAAGGAGCUGGGGGAAUAAAGGGGGGGCAAGUCUGGUGUCAGCCGCCGCGGUAAUACCAGCCCCCUGAGUGAUAGGGACGAUUAUUUAGCCUAAAGCGUCCGUAGCCGGUUUAGCAAGUCUUUCGUUAAAUCUGACGACUUAAUCGCCAGGCCGCGGGAGAUACUGCUAGGCUAGAGGGCGGGAGAGGUUGACGGUAGUCCCGGAGUAGGGGUGAAAUCCUAUAAUCCCGGGAGGACCACCAGUGGCGAAGGCGGUCAACUAGAACGCGCCUGACGGUGAUGGACGAAAGCUGGGGGAGCAAACCGGAUUAGACACCCGGGUAGUCCCAGCUGUAACGAUGCGGGCUAGCUGUUGGUGCAGAUACGGGCUGCUCCAGUGCCGCAGAGAAGUCGUUAAGCCCGCCGCUUGGGAAGUACGNCCGCAAGGCUGAACUUAAAGGCCA